GUGGACGCCAGUCUGCGUGGAGCCGACCUUGAAAUACCACCCUUUAAUGUUUGAUGUUCUAACGUGGACCCGUUACCCGGGUUGCGGACAGUGUCUGGUGGGUAGUUUGACUGGGGCGGUCUCCUCCUAAAGAGUAACGGAGGAGCACGAAGGUUGGCUAAUCCUGGUCGGACAUCAGGAGGUUAGUGCAAUGGCAUAAGCCAGCUUGACUGCGAGCGUGACGGCGCGAGCAGGUGCGAAAGCAGGUCAUAGUGAUCCGGUGGUUCUGAAUGGAAGGGCCAUCGCUCAACGGAUAAAAGGUACUCCGGGGAUAACAGGCUGAUACCGCCCAAGAGUUCAUAUCGACGGCGGUGUUUGGCACCUCGAUGUCGGCUCAUCACAUCCUGGGGCUGAAGUAGGUCCCAAGGGUAUGGCUGUUCGCCAUUUAAAGUGGUACGCGAGCUGGGUUUAGAACGUCGUGAGACAGUUCGGUCCCUAUCUGCCGUGGGCGCUGGAGAACUGAGGGGGGCUGCUCCUAGUACGAGAGGACCGGAGUGGACGCAUCACUGGUGUUCGGGUUGUCAUGCCAAUGGCACUGCCCGGUAGCUAAAUGCGGAAGAGAUAAGUGCUGAAAGCAUCUAAGCACGAAACUUGCCCCGAGAUGAGUUCUCCCUGAGACUUUAGGUCUCCUGAAGGAACGUUGAAGACGACGACGUUGAUAGGCCGGGUGUGUAAGCGCAGCGAUGCGUUGAGCUAACCGGUACUAAUGAACCGUGAGGCUUAACCUUACAACGCCGAAGCUGUU
rnacentral:rRNA from 1 species